AUAGUUGCCUGCAGGGGAGAUAACCAUGAUCACUAAGGUGGUUUUCCCAGGGUGAGGCUUAUCCAUUGCACUACGGAUUUGCUUACGACUGUGAUUUCCCCAAAUGAAGGAAUUUUGACUGCAUAAGGUGUGGUGUGGAAGACAGUAUUCACACUGUCCCCUU